rnacentral:rRNA from 1 species
GAGUGAAGCGGCAAAAGCUCAAAUUUGAAAUCUGGUACCUUCGGUGCCCGAGUUGUAAUUUGGAGAGGGCAACUUUGGGGCCGUUCCUUGUCUAUGUUCCUUGGAACAGGACGUCAUAGAGGGUGAGAAUCCCGUGUGGCGAGGAGUGCGGUUCUUUGUAAAGUGCCUUCGAAGAGUCGAGUUGUUUGGGAAUGCAGCUCUAAGUGGGUGGUAAAUUCCAUCUAAAGCUAAAUAUUGGCGAGAGACCGAUAGCGAACAAGUACAGUGAUGGAAAGAUGAAAAGAACUUUGAAAAGAGAGUGAAAAAGUACGUGAAAUUGUUGAAAGGGAAGGGCAUUUGAUCAGACAUGGUGUUUUGUGCCCUCUGCUCCUUGUGGGUAGGGGAAUCUCGCAUUUCACUGGGCCAGCAUCAGUUUUGGUGGCAGGAUAAAUCCAUAGGAAUGUAGCUUGCCUCGGUAAGUAUUAUAGCCUGUGGGAAUACUGCCAGCUGGGACUGAGGACUGCGACGUAAGUCAAGGAUGCUGGCAUAAUGGUUAUAUGCCGCCCGUCUUAA